GGCUUUAUAGUCAAUAAUGAUAUUAGACUGCAAUUCUAAAGGAAUAAUUAAUUUAUUAAAGCUU
rnacentral:tRNA from 1 species